rnacentral:lncRNA from 1 species
AAUUACCCCCAACCUCAUCUUCUUCCUUCCUUCUCCCUGCUCGAGACGGCGCCGCCGAUCUCCUCCGCCGUGCGUGUCGCCGGCAACCCCCUCCAGUUAUCUCGUGACCUUCUUAGGAUCAUCACACAGAGCUCCAUCCAGCCCGGAGCACUCGAGGGCCGGCGCGGCUGGAGCCACCGGUGACGUGCCCAGCAGGCUCCUGUGCACGGUGCACCGCGUGAUCCCACUCGACUCGUUCACUCGAGCCCACUGCCUGCUGGCGCCAAGUCUUCAGAGCUCGCUUUCUCCCACUCAGCACUACCGAAAGCGAGGAGUACU